ensembl:processed_transcript
AAAGAUGGCUUCACGUUUAUUUUAAGAAAACUGACUCAAUUAUGUGGAUUUGAUUGAGAUGUUUGCAUUUGAAUCUCGACAAGGGCAGUGAUCAGAAGACAUUCUGAAGGAGUACAGUGAGCAUGCUAAGAGCCUAGUUUGAUCAGGCAACAUUUAAGCGUGGUGGACAAACAACAGUGAACUUGUUGAUUAAUGAAGAACAUUUUUACAGUAUUUUCCCACAAAAGAGGAGCAGUUUAUGGGCAAAAUUACUAAUCUCUACACCUUUGUUGCAUCAGACCUCACAUUAAAUCAGGGAGGAGAUGAGAUGUCGUCCUCUGUUGCUGGUGUAUUUGUAUGAAAAAAGAGGAAGAACUCAUCCAGAAGUGCAAUUGUGGGAUUGCACAGAGAAAUGCUGUCUGCCAUGAGGGAUAACCAACCAUGAGAACUUUUGCAUUGUCUUGGAGGAUAAGUAUGUCAUGGCUGGCUUGGAAAAUCUAGAAUUUCAGAACUGGAUUUAUACAAGUAAGCCCCAAAUUAAAAUCACCCAAAAACAAA